rnacentral:rRNA from 1 species
UACGUAGGUGGCAAGCGUUAUCCGGAUUUAUUGGGCGUAAAGCGAGCGCAGGCGGUUUUCUAAGUCUGAUGUGAAAGCCUUCGGCUUAACCGGAGAAGGGCAUCGGAAACUGGAUAACUUGAGUGCAAGAGAGGACAGUGGAACUCCAUGUGUAGCGGUGGAAUGCGUAGAUAUAUGGAAGAACACCAGUGGCGAAGGCGGCUGUCUAGCUUGCAACUGACGCUGAGGCUCGAAAGCAUGGGUAGCGAAC